rnacentral:rRNA from 1 species
UACGUAUGGUGCAAGCGUUAUCCGGAUUUACUGGGUGUAAAGGGAGCGUAGACGGUUGUGUAAGUCUGAUGUGAAAGCCCGGGGCUCAACCUCGGGACUGCAUUGGAAACUAUGUAACUAGAGUGUCGGAGAGGUAAGCGGAAUUCCUAGUGUAGCGGUGAAAUGCGUAGAUAUUAGGAGGAACACCAGUGGCGAAGGCGGCUUACUGGACGAUCACUGACGUUGAGGCUCGAAAGCGUGGGGAGCAAACAGG